GAUGAAGAACGUAGCGAAAUGCGAUAAGUAAUGUGAAUUGCAGAAUUCAGUGAAUCAUCGAAUCUUUGAACGCACCUUGCACUCCUUGGUAUUCCGAGGAGUACGCCUGUUCGAGUGUUAUGAAGCUCUCAAAACGCAAUUGGCUUAAAACCUGAUUGUUGUUUGGAUUUGAACUUUGCCGUGUUAUAACGGCUGGUUUUAAAAGUAUUAGCUGGUACUAGAACGAAUUGGUUCUACUCAACGUGAUAAUUAUCUGAUCGUUGAGGACAUUCCUUUCACGAGGAAUGGCCAUAGUAAAUUCAAUGGACUGCUUCUAAUCUGGCUUUAAUUCUUUAUUGGAUUAACCACUUUUCAAAUCUGACCUCGAAUCAGGUGGGACUACCCGCUGAACUUAAGCAUAUCAAUAAGCGGAGGA
rnacentral:misc_RNA from 1 species